rnacentral:rRNA from 1 species
UACGUAGGGUGCGAGCGUUAAUCGGAAUUACUGGGCGUAAAGCGUGCGCAGGCGGUUCUACAAGUCCGGUGUGAAAGCCCCGGGCUCAACCUGGGAACUGCAUUUGGGACGGCAAGGCUGGAGUACGGCAGAGGGAGGUGGAAUUCCACGUGUAGCAGUGAAAUGCGUAGAGAUGUGGAGGAACACCGAUGGCGAAGGCAGCCUCCUGGGCUAGUACUGACGCUCAUGCACGAAAGCGUGGGGAGCAAACAGG